AACUGAUACUACCUGCGGGAACCUGCGGAGGGAUCAUUACUGAAGUGAUUUGGGGAUGUUGCUGGCCCUCUCUCAAGGGGGGGCACUGUGCGCUCCUCGAAACAAUUCACAAUUUCCAUCACACCCCUUGUGCACACCUUGUAGGCACCCAAACCCACCUCCGGGUGGUGGGGUCCUAUGUAUUCCUUCAUCUCACACUCUGUUGAAUGGUGCCAUGGGACGCAUCUAAAGGAUUAUUUG
rnacentral:misc_RNA from 1 species